rnacentral:rRNA from 1 species
ACUCCUACGGGAGGCAGCAGUGGGGAAUUUUGGACAAUGGGGGCAACCCUGAUCCAGCCAUGCCGCGUGAGUGAAGAAGGCCUUCGGGUUGUAAAGCUCUUUCAGUCGGAACGAAACGGUUCGCUCUAACAUAGCGUGCUAAUGACGGUACUGACAGAAGAAGCACCGGCUAACUACGUGCCAGCAGCCGCGGUAAUACGUAGGGUGCGAGCGUUAAUCGGAAUUACUGGGCGUAAAGCGUGCGCAGGCGGAUUGUUAAGCAAGACGUGAAAUCCCCGGGCUUAACCUGGGAAUGGCGUUUUGAACUGGCAGUCUAGAGUGCGUCAGAGGGGGGUGGAAUUCCACGUGUAGCAGUGAAAUGCGUAGAGAUGUGGAGGAACACCGAUGGCGAAGGCAGCCCCCUGGGAUGACACUGACGCUCAUGUACGAAAGCGUGGGUAGCAAACAGGAUUAGAUACCCUGGUAGUC